ACAAAAUAUAGGACCAAGGUAAGCAAACUCCCUUGCUCUGAACAAGGAUUGAGGAAGGAAAUGGUAGGAGAAAUUCAUAAUGUAGAAAUGCAUUAGCUGCUUCUCACUGCUUAUAGCAAAGUCCCACAAAAGAGAUGGACAUGGGUGACAGCUGGCCAGGGCAGGUGUGGCAUGAAAGAGAGAGCUGGCUGGAAACAAAUAGAUCAGAAAUCUUUACGUUUCUGAAAAAAUGCUUUGCCAAAGAAGCCACAGCAUGGUCUGAAAAAGCCUGCGAUUGUUCAACCCCAAAGCAAUCCCUGAAAACAAGGAGCAAGCUGUGAAAACCAUGCAGGUCCCAGGAAGGGCAUCCCCUCCGGUACCCACGCCGGUCAGCUGUGGCAGGGGAGACAACAGCAAGCACGCAGAACCCCCUAGGAUUCUGUGGCACAAUGAAUUCACAUGCCUGGAGAGGCGGUGUUACCAGGAUGCUUGUGUCAACCAAGAUGGUGCUGUGUCUGGCCAUCAGGAGGAUCCACACAUAGAUCUGAACCCAUGAAGGAGGCCUUCACCAGGGAAAGUUCGUCUACAUGGAAUCUUUAGCGUUCUCAGAGCCCAGAGGCAGGCACAGGCCCACAAUGGGACACGUGGUCUGAAAAAGGGUCCGGCUCCUGGCUCUGCAGGGCUCUGCCACCCCCUUGCUGGAGACUUCCCUAGUCUGGGCAUCAGCAUCUACUUGUAAGACUGAGGGUUCAUUCUGGUGGAUGGUUUUCCCACCUGAGUUCCCCAGAGUCUCAGCAUUUUCAGGGACAUCAGUGUGACCCAGAAUCAACUAUGGCAGAGGAACUUUGCUUUGCGAGAUAUGCAAGGUUCUUUGGAAGAAAGUCUGAGGGAGAGCAGGAAGGGGACAGGUGAGAGGGCUGCAUGAUUCCUGCCUUCACUCUGGGUGUUCAUCAGGGGCCGGGAGGUAAGCACUGUCUUUGUAUUUUCACCUUCCGGAUCUAUCUUUUUGAAGAUUUUAUUUUCCACUUUGGAAGCAUAUUAACUUAAUCUAUCAUGUGAUUUGUAAAUCAAUACCCCCAACAGACAGCUGUCUGCUUCUCUUAGCAUUUUUUUUUUUUUUUUUUUGCGGUAUGCGGGCCUCUCACUGUUGUGGCCUCUCCCGCUGCGGAGCACAGGCUCCGGACGCGCAGGCUCAGCGGCCAUGGCUCACGGGCCCAGCCGCUCCGCAGCAUGUGGGAUCUUCCCAGACCGGGACACGAACCCAUGUCUCCUGCAUCGGCAGGUGGACUCUCAACCACUGCAACACCAGGGAAGACCCUCUUAGCUUUUAAUAACAUUGGUGACAUGGAGUGGAAGACUUGACUCAUUCUAUAAGUCAGUUUUUAAUAUGGAACAAACACUGAGUUGUUCCUCAAAAGCCGUACAGGCUAAGAACAAUUUAAAAAUAAUUUAACAGUAUUAUAAUUCAAUAACUAUAAUUAUUAAAAUGCUACCAUAUAGGCCUGAGUGUUGCAAUGAAUGGGAGAAGUUGGAAUGAGAAAUUAACCCUGAAAUUAAUUUCUAUGUUAGUCAGGGAAGUUAGUGCAAGCAGCUUUAACAGAUAAAUCCACAAAUUCCAUUAACCCAACAAAGGUUUAUUUCUCAUGUAGGCAAAAGCCAGUAACUGUACAAUCUGGGCCUCCAAGUUUGCUGCGGCAGGGAAAAGAUGAAGAAAUCACAGUGGCUCUUAAAUUCUAUUGGCCAGAACUUAAGGGAGGCUGUGAGACGGAGAGGAACACAUGGAUGCUGAAAGCACAUUCCCUCUCCACCACCGUGAGAUGGAUUUCUAUUCUUGUGUUUGUUAGUCAGAAACUAAACUUGAGACUCUGAUUGAUUGAUUGAUUUAAACAACACAAUCUAAUUCAAUCUUUUUUUUCGUUUUUUAAAAUUUAUUUAUUUAUUUUUGGCUGCGUUGGGUCUUCGUUGCUGCGCACGGGCUUUUCUCUAGUUGUGGCGAGCAGGGGCUGCUCUUUGUUGCAGUGGGCAGGCUUCUCAUUGCGGUGGCUUUUCUUGUUGCAGAGCACGGGCUCUAGAGUACACGGCUUCAGUAGCUGUGGCUCGCAGGCUCUAGGGCACAGGCUCAAUAGUUGUGGCGCACGGGCUUAGUUGCCCCGUGGCAUGUGGGAUCUUCCCGGACCAGGGCUCGAACUCAUGUCCCCUGCGUUGGCAGGUGUAUUCUCAACCACUGCGCCACCAGGGAAGCCCCUGAUUUAUUUUUUUGGCCACGCCGCACGGCUUAUGGGAUUUUUGUUCCCUGACCAGGGAUCGAACCCGGGCCCUUGGCAGUGAGAGUGUGGAGUCCUAACCACGGGACUGCCAGGGAAUUGCUGGCAGAUUUAGAUGGUGGAAUUAUGAAGAACUUGAAUGUAGCCCUAACAUAUUUCCAACCCUGGUGUCCCACAGAGGAUGAAAACACUGUGUAUGGAAGACAUACUGUAGGUGUUUAGAACAUCUGCUGUGGUUUGGGAAAAGGCCAGGGCUUGAAAUCAGCUCCAUCAUUCACCUCCUUUAUGAUUAAGUUUAUUCAACACUUUGAGCCUUCGUUACUUUGUCUGUAAAGUGAGGAAAACAAUAAUCCCUCUCUUGUAGGUUUUCGAGAAAUCAUUGGUAUCACCAUCAUCAACAUUCUCAUCACCAUUACUACCACCAGCUUCACCAUCACCAUCAUUAUCACCACCAUCACUGUCACCAUCACUAUCAUCACCACCACCACCACCACCACCGUCUCCACCAUCACCACUGUCAUCACCAUCAUCACCAACACCACCACCAAGAUCAUCAUAAUCACUUAUUAUUUAGACACCACAUUCCCAUGGAAGGGUCUCUAAAUGCUAACUUCUAACUCCUAUUGCCGUAGCUUCAGAGAGAACUCCACUGUAAGUUUAAGCAGUGGUGUGUACAGUGUGAGGGUAAUGGGAAAAUGUGAGGUGAGCUGGGGACUUUGCAUCUGUGGAAGCAUCUACAGAUUCUCAGUGGUCAUUCAGCUUCUGAGCACUGUCCCUACGAAGAAAUAGGCUAGUUCUGAAACAAUCACACUGAGGGCUUGCAUAAAUACAGGUUCUAGAUCUAACUUAGGAAGUCUGGCUACAGGUCUGGGAACCUGUAUUUUAAAUAAGAUUGUUAGUAGCUCUUGAAUAAGUUGUGGAUUAUUGUUUAAGUUCAGCCUGUAUACAGACUGCAUCCAUUCAUGUGUUCAUGCAUUCGACGAAUAUUUAUUGAGCACUGAUUAAGGCCUAUGUUAAACAUUUCCCUACGUUAUUUCUCACAUUCUGUUAUCACCCUCGUUUUGUAGAUGAGGGAGGUAGACUUGGGGACAACAGACGAGUAACUUGCCCAGGGCCACAUAGCCAGGAAGUGAACAGGGGACAUUUGAGUCCAGAGCUCACAUUCCUUAUCACCCCUUAACAAAAAGGGGUCUUUGCAAGGAGCCAGCAGAGCAUAAUAGGCAGUAAAAUUGUCAGGCCACCCCAGGGCUAAGGAGAAUGUAGUGGGGGUCAUGUGUCUGUUCUCGGAGGUUAGGGCCUUGGAAAUGGCUUCCUGGAGCAGGUGUCAGUUAUCCAGGUGGGCAAGAGGUGUGUGUGUGUGUGUGUGUGUGUGUGUGUGUGUGUGAGAGAGAGAGAGAGAGAGAGAGAGAGAGAGAGAGAGAGAGAGAAAGAGAGAGAGAGGGAGAGAGAGAGGGAGAGAGAGAAAACAUGGCAGAGGAAAUAACAUAUGCCAAGGCCUGGCAAUAAAUAUUUUUUCCUGCGUGAACCGUGGGAACUGCGCUAUAGUGGUGUUUCUAGAGUGUGAUUUCCUCUCCACUGGUUUCAUUACUGCUUAUCAGAGGCACACAGAAGAGUUUCUUUUUCUCUUCCUACAAAUUUUAAUAGAAGUUCCUUUAAAGCAUUGUAGGAAGAAAAAGAAUAACUAGCAUGUCAAACCCAUGAAAUUAUAUAUGGUAGUUCUUGGGAUGCAGCUAAAAUUAAUAUACUGGUUAAGAAAGUGCAUGAGUAGCAAUAACAUUACAGAGUAUGAGAGGGAAGGUAAAAACAGUGAAGGUGGAAAGCCCAGGAGCGCUGAAGAUUCAGGAACCCUGGGCCGGAGGGUGUUUCUGUCCGUUCCAGCUUAGAAGCUCUACACUUGAAGUUUGUCCUGAGUGCGAAUGGCUCUUUUGUCAGUAAUGUCACAUUCUUCUCGGUGGGGGCAACGGCGUCCCUGCUGCUGUUAACCAUGAAGGGAUGAUUUGUUCCCAGUAUUAGGACCUGCAGGGCCAAAGUCUGUCCUCGGAAUGGUCAGGAGGAGCUUUGAGCU